GACGAACGCUGGCGGCGUGCCUAAUACAUGCAAGUAGAACGCUGAAGGAGGAGCUUGCUCUUCUGGAUGAGUUGCGAACGGGUGAGUAACGCGUAGGUAACCUGCCUGGUAGCGGGGGAUAACUAUUGGAAACGAUAGCUAAUACCGCAUAAGAGUAGAUGUUGCAUGACAUUUGCUUAAAAGGUGCAAUUGCAUCACUACCAGAUGGACCUGCGUUGUAUUAGCUAGUUGGUGGGGUAACGGCUCACCAAGGCGACGAUACAUAGCCGACCUGAGAGGGUGAUCGGCCACACUGGGACUGAGACACGGCCCAGACUCCUACGGGAGGCAGCAGUAGGGAAUCUUCGGCAAUGGACGGAAGUCUGACCGAGCAACGCCGCGUGAGUGAAGAAGGGUGUCGGAUCGUAAAGCUCUGUUGUAAGAGAAGAACGAGUGUGAGAGUGGAAAGUUCACACUGUGACGGUAGCUUACCAGAAAGGGACGGCUAACUACGUG
rnacentral:rRNA from 1 species